rnacentral:rRNA from 1 species
AGCGAACGCUGGCGGCAGGCCUAACACAUGCAAGUCGAACGCGUGUAGCAAUACACGAGUGGCAGACGGGUGAGUAACACGUGGGAACGUGCCCUUCGGUUCGGAAUAACUCAGGGAAACUUGAGCUAAUACCGGAUACGCCCUUACGGGGAAAGAUUAUCGCCGAUGGAUCGGCCCGCGUCUGAUUAGCUAGUUGGUGAGGUAACGGCUCACCAAGGCGACGAUCAGUAGCNGGUCUGAGAGGAUGAUCAGCCACACUGGGACUGAGACACGGCCCAGACUCCUACGGGAGGCAGCAGUGGGGAAUAUUGGACAAUGGGGGAAACCCUGAUCCAGCCAUGCCGCGUGAGUGAUGAA